GCUCUCUGGGUGGCGAGUGGCGGACGGGUGAGGAAUACAUCGGAAUCUACUCUGUCGUGGGGGAUAACGUAGGGAAACUUACGCUAAUACCGCAUACGACCUACGGGUGAAAGCAGGGGAUCUUCGGACCUUGCGCGAUUGAAUGAGCCGAUGUCGGAUUAGCUAGUUGGCGGGGUAAAGGCCCACCAAGGCGACGAUCCGUAGCUGGUCUGAGAGGAUGAUCAGCCACACUGGAACUGAGACACGGUCCAGACUCCUACGGGAGGCAGCAGUGGGGAAUAUUGGACAAUGGGCGCAAGCCUGAUCCAGCCAUACCGCGUGGGUGAAGAAGGCCUUCGGGUUGUAAAGCCCUUUUGUUGGGAAAGAAAUCCAGCUGGCUAAUACCUGGUUGGGAUGACGGUACCCAAAGAAUAAGCACCGGCUAACUUCGUGCCAGCAGCCGCGGUAAUACGAAGGGUGCAAGCGUUACUCGGAAUUACUGGGCGUAAAGCGUGCGUAGGUGGUCGUUUAAGUCCGUUGUGAAAGCCCUGGGCUCAACCUGGGAACUGCAGUGGAUACUGGGCGACUAGAGUGUGGUAGAGGGUAGCGGAAUUCCUGGUGUAGCAGUGAAAUGCGUAGAGAUCAGGAGGAACAUCCAUGGCGAAAGGCAGCUACCUGGACCAACACUGACACUGAGGCACGAAAGCGUGGGGAGCAAACAGGA
rnacentral:rRNA from 1 species